rnacentral:rRNA from 1 species
UCCACGCCGUAAACGAUGAUCACUAGUUGUGUGCGAUAUACAGUACGUGACUGAGCGAAAGCAUUAAGUGAUCCACCUGGGGAGUACGUUCGCAAGAAUGAAACUCAAAGGAAUUGACGGGCGGUGAAUACGUUCCCGGGCCUUGUACACACCGCCCGUCAAGCCAUGGGAGCCGGGGGUACCUAAAGUCCGUAACCGCAAGGAUCGGCCUAGGGUAAAACUGGUGACUGGGGCUAAGUCGUAACAAGGUA